UCUCUCUCGGUUUCUCUGUCUCUCCCCGACCCGCACUCUCUCUCUCUCCUCGGAACUUCCAACUCCGACCACCACAAGGGACGGCACCGGUCCCAAUCAAACCGCAGUGAAGCCCCGACCUCAGCCCGGUCCAUUUCCCCGUCGGAAACCACGAAAAACAGCCGGAACUUCGACUAGUUUUAACCGAAUUUUUCCCUGCGUUGCACCGCCGCCUCUGCCACCCGUUCCAGGUAACCAAGGUGCUCUGACCGCACCUACUCAGCAGGCAGGACACCCUCAGGAUCAGGCAGUCUGGGACUACUUACAGUAGUUGACUGAGCUUCGUCGCUGAACCCGACCGUCUGUUCCCGACGCACGAGACCUUGUAGGAACUUUCUCUUGUUUUCAAUUCUGUUAACUUUCGUUCUGUUGUAACCGAAUUCCUUAGAUAUGCUCUGUUAUCACCAAUGUUCGGGUUUGUUUUUUUGGAGGCCGGAGGUUCUUGUAGUAAACUGUUUAAGUGUCUUGAAAGCUUGCUGCCUGUUGUUUGUGUAAAUGUAAAUUUUGUACAGGUUGAAGUUUUGGGAAUGUUAACUGUACAAGGGAGACUCUGCCAAAUUUUUGGUAGCACGUCUCGGUUUUAAUUAAGUGGGCCCGGCAUCAGGGUGAUGUCGGUAAAAAAGACGGGACUCGUUCCGGGUUCCGAGGAAUUUUCGGGGCGGGUCCUGUCAAGUGUACUACUCCGUUUAUGUUAAUUCACUCUGAUGUCUGGGGAC